rnacentral:rRNA from 1 species
UACGAAGGGGGCUAGCGUUGUUCGGAUUUACUGGGCGUAAAGGGCGCGUAGGCGGCGCAACAAGUCACUUGUGAAAUCUCCGGGCUUAACCCGGAGCGGUCAAGUGAUACUGUCGUGCUAGAGUGCGGAAGGGGCAACUGGAAUUCUCGGUGUAGCGGUGAAAUGCGUAGAUAUCGAGAGGAACACCUGCGGCGAAGGCGGGUUGCUGGGCCGACACUGACGCUGAGGCGCGAAAGCCAGGGGAGCGAACGGG